rfam:Otolemur garnettii contig129430, whole genome shotgun sequence.
GUUUGCUUCAGCAGCUCCAUAUACUAAAAUUGGAAAGAUAAAGAGAAGAUUAGCCUGGCCCCAGUGCAAAGAUAAUGGGCAAAUUUGUGAAGUGUUUCAUAUUUAA